GACAGAGGGUGCAAACGUUGUUCGGAAUUACUGGGCGUAAAGCGUGUGUAGGCGGCUUUGCAAGUCGGAUGUGAAAGCCCCGGGCUUAACCUGGGAAUUGCAGUCGAUACUACUCAGCUAGAGUAUGGGAGAGGGUAGUGGAAUUCCCGGUGUAGCGGUGAAAUGCGUAGAUAUCGGGAGGAACAUCAGUGGCGAAGGCGGCUACCUGGCCCAAUACUGACACUCAGGUGCGACAGCGUGGGGAGCAAACAGG
rnacentral:rRNA from 1 species